UACGUAGGGGGCAAGCGUUAUCCGGAUUUACUGGGUGUAAAGGGAGCGUAGGCGGUUUGGCAAGUCAGAAGUGAAAGCCCGGGGCUCAACUCCGGGACUGCUUUUGAAACUGUUAGACUAGAUUGCAGGAGAGGUAAGUGGAAUUCCUAGUGUAGCGGUGAAAUGCGUAGAUAUUAGGAGGAACACCAGUGGCGAAGGCGGCUUACUGGACUGUGAAUGACGCUGAGGCUCGAAAGCGUGGGGAGCAAACA
rnacentral:rRNA from 1 species